rnacentral:sRNA from 1 species
CAGUCUGAGUCUCGAUGGAUGGCCGCUGUUGUUCAGCGAUUGAGCCACCUGAGCACAAAAACGACAAGCCAGGUAAAUAUACUCACUGAUGACGUCAAAAGGGUUUUUAUGACACAACAGCCGCAAGCUAAAUACCGU